CCUACGGGAGGCAGCAGUGGGGAAUAUUGCACAAUGGGGGAAACCCUGAUGCAGCGACGCCGCGUGAGUGAAGAAGUCAUUCGUUAUGUAAAGCUCCUUUAGCAGGGAAGAAAAUGCCGGUACCUGAGUAAGAAGCCACGGCUAACUACGUGCCAGCAGCCGCGGUAAUACGUAGGGGGCAAGCGUGAUCCGGAUUUACCGGGUGUAAAGGGAGCGUAGACGGCAGGGAAGGGAUGGAGUGAAAGGCGGGGGCUCAACGCCCGGACUGCUCUGGAAACUGUACGGCUGGAGUGCAGGAGAGGUAAGUGGAAUGCGUGGUGGAGCGGUGAAAUGCGUAGAUAUUAGGAGGAACACCAGUGGCGAAGGCGGCUUACUGGACUGUAACUGACGUUGAGGCUCGAAAGCGUGGGUAGCAAACAGGAUUAGAUACCCCAGUAGUC
rnacentral:rRNA from 1 species